AACGAACGCUGGCGGCAUGCCUAACACAUGCAAGUCGAACGAGACCUUCGGGUCUAGUGGCGCACGGGUGCGUAACGCGUGGGAACCUGCCCUUAGGUUCGGAAUAACUCCCCGAAAGGGGUGCUAAUACCGGAUAAUGUCUUCGGACCAGAGAUUUAUCGCCUUUGGUUGGGCCCGCGUUGGCUUAGCUAGUUGGUAGUGUAAAAGCCUACCAAGGCGACGAUCCAUAGCUGGUCUGAGAGGAUGAUCAGCCACACUGGGACUGGGACACGGCCCAGACUCCUACGGGAGGCAGCAGUGGGUAAUCUUGGACUAUGGCCGGAAGCCUGAUCCAGCACUGCCGCGUGAGUGAUGAAGGCCUUAGGGUUGUAAAGCUCUUUUACCCGGGAUGAUACUGACAGUACCGGGAGAAUAAGCUCCGGCUAACUCCGUG
rnacentral:rRNA from 1 species